rnacentral:rRNA from 1 species
GACGAACGCUGGCGGCGUGCCUAAUACAUGCAAGUCGAACGCAGUGGGGACGGGUGAGUAACACGCGGGUAACCCCCCAUCAGAGGGGAUAACACCUGGAAACAGGUGCUAAACCGCUACUGAUGGAUGGACCCGCGGUGCAUUAGCUAGUUGGUGAGGUAACGGCUCACCAAGGCCACGAUGCAUAGCCGACCGGAGAGGUGGGUCGGCCACACUGGGACUGAUACACGGCCCAGACUCCGACGGGAGGCAGCAGUAGGGAAUCUUAGGCAAUGGACGAAAGGCUGACCGAGCGACGCCGCGUGAGUGAAGAAGCUGUUCGGAUCGUGAAACUCUGUUGGUAGAGAAGCGGUAUCUAACCAGAAAGCCACGGCUAACUACGUGCCAGCAGCCGCGGUAAUUC